rnacentral:rRNA from 1 species
GUAUGGCUGUUCGCCAUUUAAAGUGGUACGCGAGCUGGGUUUAGAACGUCGUGAGACAGUUCGGUCCCUAUCUGCCGUGGGCGUUGGAAGAUUGAAGGGGGCUGCUCCUAGUACGAGAGGACCGGAGUGGACGAACCUCUGGUGUUCGGGUUGUGUCGCCAGACGCAUUGCCCGGUAGCUAAGUUCGGAAUUGAUAAGCGCUGAAAGCAUCUAAGCGCGAAGCGAGCCCUGAGAUGAGUCUUCCCUGACAGUUUAACUGUCCUAAAGGGUUGUUCGAGACUAGAACGUUGAUAGGCAGGGUGUGUAAGCGUUGUGAGGCGUUGAGCUAACCUGUACUAAUUGCCCGUGAGGCUUAACCAUACAACACCCAAGGGGUUUUGUA